rnacentral:sRNA from 1 species
AUGAAAUCUAGAUUGUUUGUUUGCUGUUUCCCAAUCCGUCUUGAUUUUACCUCUUUCCUCUUGAUGUGUGUUUGGGUGUGGCUGCCGCCACCCCUUUUUUUU